GUGAUAUUUUGAAAAAUUUUUUUUUUUAGAUGGUCCCUCUUUCCUAUCUGCUUGUUUGUAUGGGUUAUUGCUUCCCCCCGCGGCCACGGAUCACCCUCCUGUGAGAGGUGGUUGGCCACCUUGGGAGUGAGACCCGCCCCUCACUCCUUUCGGGAGGCAGCAGUGGGGAAUAUUGCUCAAUGGGCGGAAGCCUGAUGCAGCGACGCCGCGGGGGGGAAGACGGCCUUCGGGUUGUAAACUCCUUUCACCAUCGACGAAGGUUUUCUGUCGGUAGAUGGAGAAGAAGCACCGGCUAAUUACGUGCCAGCAGCCGCGGUAAUACGUAGGGUGCGAGCGUUGUCCGGAAUUACUGGGCGUAAAGAGCUCGUAGGUGGUUUGUCGCGUCGUCUGUGAAAUUCCGGGGCUUAACUCCGGGCGUGCAGGCGAUACGGGCAUAACUUGAGUACUGUAGGGGAGACUGGAAUUCCUGGUGUAGCGGUGAAAUGCGCAGAUAUCAGGAGGAACACCGAUGGCGAAGGCGGGUCUCUGGGCAGUAACUGACGCUGAGGAGCGAAAGCAUGGGUAGCGAACAGGAUUAGAUACCCUGGUAGUCCAUGCCGUAAACGGUGGGCGCUAGGUGUAGGGGUCUUCCCACGACUUCUGUGCCGUAGCUAACGCAUUAAGCG
rnacentral:rRNA from 1 species